UACGGAGGGUGCAAGCGUUAUCCGGAUUCACUGGGGUUAAAGGGUGCGUAGGUGGAGUGGCAAGUCAGUGGUGAAAUCUCCAAGCUUAACUUGGAAACUGCCGUUGAUACUAUCAUUCUUGAAUAUCGUGGAGGUAAGCGGAAUAUGUCAUGUAGCGGUGAAAUGCUUAGAUAUGACAUAGAACACCGAUUGCGAAGGCAGCUUGCUACACGAUCAUUGACACUGAGGCACGAAAGCGUGGGGAUCAAACAGG
rnacentral:rRNA from 1 species